UCUAUCUUUCUCCUUUUCCCUCACCUCCACUCCAUUUCAGUCUCUGCUUGAAAAAAAUUCACGACUCUCACUUCUGCUAUACCCAAAACACCAACACUAUGAGAAAACCAUUAAAAACUAUUUUCUCUUCAAUUUUUCCCUGAAAACCAUUUUCUCUUCAGUCUUCUCUUGAAAUCCUACCACCAUUAAACCUUCGAGAGAAUUCUUUCUCCGGAUUAUAUUUUUCUUCAAUCCUUCUCUUCAAACCCACCACUAUUUUCACUUCAAUAUUCCUCGUGCUUGAUUUUCUACUGGAAAAGUUAGGGUUUGAAAUUGUUUGGGGUGAUUCAUUAAGAAGAUCAUGUUGUCUGUGGUUUCUAAUUUUUUUAGGUGAUUAGCCAAAUCAUGUUUAGUUAUUCUCAAGAUUUUAUGAUUUUGGUUUUGAUUGGUCUAGAUUCAGUGCAAUCUGAGGAUUAAUUAGGUUGUUCAUGAAUUAUUUAUUUUUGGGAAUUUUUGAUGAAUCUGAGCAUUGGUUUGUGUUUUUAUGUAUUGAUUUUGAUUUAAGUUGUUGAUUUUGAUUGGGGUUCAACUUUUUAUUUUCUUCCCGAUCUGCUCAACAUGCAAUAAUUGAGCCUCAGAAUCUGAAUGACAGCGUUAUGUGAUCUUCAAGAAGGUAAUAUAACCUCAUUUAACACGUGUUUUUCACCCCUCGGUGUGUUAUUGGACUUACAAUAUUGUUUAUUUAUAUUCUAAAGGUCUAAAGGUUCUGAAGAAUAGAUCUAAUACAUGGAGCUCAACUGGUUAUUUAAUGCAUUUUUUACUGACACGUAAUAAGUAUUUCUCGUAGCUUAACUGGGUGGAAAUUUUUUCCAAGUCUAGAUUUUAGUUUAUGUUUUUUUCUUCAGUUUUUUUAAAAAAGAAUUUACAGGGACAGAUUGAGAAAUGGCAGGACGAGAUUAAGCAGCUGAGGUCACUGGAUGUGAUGAAUGAAGAAGCAAAUACGCGUCUUCAUAUGAAUCUCUCACUGUUCUGGGAUGUUCAGAUUUGAUCCUCCUUGAUAAGUCAUUCUGGUGUUUUCACUGUUUCUGAUGCUAUCAAUAAAAUUAGAUUACACCAACCUAAAUUGCACUGUUAUAAAAAGAUCCUGAAUCCUGCAGUACUUCCUUCAACUUCUGCAAAUGUUUAGAAGAUUACUAGAAAUGUGUGUGCAACAGAAGAGAACUUGAGGAAGAAGGGAUUUCAGUUUGCUUCAAGAUGCUACAUUUGCCAUGAUGAUGAAGAUAAUAUAGAGCAUGUUAUAUGGAAAUGUGAUUUCAGUACCAGAUUGUGGAAUUGGCUUUCAGGUAUCUUUUUAUCUCCCAAACCUAACUCUUUUGAGGAUAUUUUGAAAAUACAUAAAAGCUCUAGCCCUGUGAUAAAGAAUUGUGGAUUAUCAGCUCCUACACUGCCAUGGUUGAGUUAUGGUUUCUAAGAAAUGAUAUUUUUUAUGAUGAUGAGAAGCCAAUCUUAAUCAAAAUUCAACAAAAAAUUGUUAGAAAAAUCCAUGAUUGUGAAGCUAGACUGUAAGGUGUUAUGUGGGGAAAUGAUAUUGAGAAAUCAAUCUUACAAUUUUUUAAUAUCCAAGUCAGGAAAAUAAGAAGAACAAGGAUUGUUGAAAUUUUUUUUUAUCUGCCAAAUGAGAAUGAACUGUUAUUAUGUUGUGAUGGGGCUUCUAGAGGAAAUCCAGGCAUUGCAGGCUAUGGUUUUGUAGUAAGGAACCAUAUUGGUGCUUUCAUCUUAGCAGAGGCUGGUGGCUUGGGAAUCAAAACUAACUUUGUAGCAGAAUUCAUCUCUUAUAUCAAGGCUUUAGAAUGGGCAGUUGAGUAUUUCUCUUUCAAGUUAGUUCUGCAAUCUGAUUCUAGUAUGUGUGCAAAAG